rnacentral:rRNA from 1 species
UACGGAGGGGACUAGCGUUGUUCGGAAUUACUGGGCGUAAAGCGCACGUAGGCGGAUUUGUAAGUCAGGGGUGAAAUCCCGGGGCUCAACCUCGGAACUGCCUUUGAUACUGCAAAUCUCGAGUCCGGAAGAGGUGAGUGGAAUUCCUGGUGUAGCGGUGAAAUGCGCAGAUAUCAGGAGGAACACCAGUGGCGAAGGCGGUGCUCUGGGCCGGAACUGACGCUGAGGAGCGAAAGCGUGGGGAGCAAACAGG